rnacentral:misc_RNA from 1 species
AUGAUUAAUGUUCCAACUCUUAGUCAAAGGAAACAAAUUUUGACACAUCAGUGCUCUAGAUUACGAGUUGAUUCUGGCUUGGAUUUGGACGUCCUAGCUCAGAUGACCAAUGGCUAUGUUGGAGCUGACCUCAUGUCACUCUGUCAUGAAGCAGCCUUCACAGCACUGGGUUCUCUCCAGCCUGAUUUAAAAGAAAACAAGGACACAGAGCCUCCAUUGAUAACAACAGACCAUUUCAAAACAGCCCUCAAAAAGGUGUUACCUUCUACCCAGAAAGGCUCUCCCUGCACCAUAGAGUUUGACCCUGUCCACUGGGACGACAUUGGUGGUUUGGAGGAAGCUAAACUGAAAAUUCAGCAGGCAGUAGAGUGGCCCAUUAAGCAUCCAGAGGCUUUUUCUCGCAUGGGCCUACCAAGCCCUAGGGGUGUGCUGUUGUACGGACCCCCUGGUUGCUGUAAGACUACACUGGUCAAGGCGGUAGCCACCUCCUCCAGUGCCACCUUCCUUUCUCUGAGUGGUGCCCAGCUGUUCUCACCUUAUGUCGGAGACUCAGAAAAACUCAUCACUGAGGUUUUCCAAAGAGCUCGUGCAGGUGCCCCAGCCCUCAUUUUCCUGGACGAAAUAGAUUCCAUCAUUGGCAAGCGGUCUGAUGGGACGUCACAGCGCGGGGUACAAGAGAGGGUUCUGUCUACCCUGCUUAAUGAGAUGGAUGGUAUAGGGAUUCGACUGGAUGAGAAGACAGACUCAAUGGGGACAGGGGAGGUAACCCAAUGAGAAAUUAUUGAUCACACCCUGCCUUUAGGCUUUAUGGGAUUUGAACAUGUGACCAACCCAUAUUUAUAUUUGCAAAUACACCCAAAAAUAAUACAUGAUUUCUUAAGUCAACGUAUAAGAUAGAAGAAUACUUUAAGUUCCAUAAUCUUAAAAUUUUGUUACCUCUUAUUGGUGAUUGAUUUGUAUAAUUAACACCUAAAAUGGAAGCUAGUAAAAUCCUGACUCUCCUUUAGGAUGGAUCGGUGAGAGAUCUGGCCAAUAAAAGUGUGCUGAUAGUGGCCGCCACAAAUCGACCCGACAUGUUGGAUGAGGCACUAACCAGACCUGGAAGAUUUGACAGAUCUGUCUAUGUACCACCACCUGAUCUACAGGCACGACUUGAAAUUCUCAAAAUCUGCACAAAGACAAUGCCAGUGAAGGAUGUUGAUUUGUCUGCUCUGGCAGCAAGGACUGAAAACUACACUGGAGCUGAUCUGAAGAAUCUCUGCAGAGAGGCUGCCUUGCUCUCUCUGACGGAGGACCUAUCCUCAGACUUGGUCACAGAGGAGCACCUGAUCAAGGCUCUGUCUAUAGUGAGGCCCUCACUGAACCCUUUUCUACUGAACAAAUACCAACAGGGUUCAUCACAGGGGAAGAAACUAUUUGUUCUGUGAAUGGUUUUGAACAUACACUCAUGUAGCUCUCACAAGAAAAAAAAUCACUGAAUCUAGCUGCUUCGUGGGUGGAGGGGGAGAUCUAAAGAAGAUGGUUCCUUACAGGGGAAGAAACCCUUUAAAAAUGGCUCAUCAGAGGGGAAGAAAUUCUUUGAAUGUACCAGUACUCCCCACAUGGGUAGAAACUCUUUAAAAGUGGCUCCCCUCAGGGGAAGAAACUCUUUGAACAUGACUUCCCACAGGGGAAGAAAUUCAUUCAACAUGUCUCCCAACUAGAGGAGGAACUCUUUGAACUUGGCUCCUCACAGGGGAAGAAACUCUGCUCUGUGAAUGUUUCUUGCAUUGACAUUAUGUUUGAAUUAAAUUUGUGGAAUAUGU